CAAAGAUGUCUGCUUCCUUUGAUCAUGUCACAUAUCUUCCAUCUCCUUUUCACUCAACUAGAAUUCAGUAUUUGUUUGUCUGGCAUGAUGCCUAUGAAUAACUCAGGUCAUAAGCAAAAACAAGGGAGAGGCUGUUAUGGCAUCUGUGUGUAAUUUGCUGGGAGGCUCUUAAGACCAGCGUUCUCAAACAUUCCUCGCCGGAACGUCAGCUAACCCACCUUCACAGUUGAUUGGAUCUUGCUGCCUGUAACCACUCAACUCCCCGUCGCUGGCCUGCUACUAUUCUCGGCGCUAUUCACCUGCCUGCCUCCCUGCCCUACACUUCACAGUGAGUGUACACGAACUGGUUCUGCCUUACUCGGACCACUAAUCCCCUCCUAGCCUCGCCAUCAACCCAGACAAUGACUCAGAGAAACCCUGCGACCCUGUACCUUGUAUGCCUGCUCCGGAAAAUCCCAAAUAACGUGCCCAGCCCGAUAAAGAGACUAUUUCCUUUUGGCUUUGCUGCUGCA